rnacentral:rRNA from 1 species
CACCAGCGCCCCGAGUGGCAAUCACGAUUAUUGGGCCUAAAGCGUCCGUAGCAGGUUUUGUAAAUCUUUUGUGAAAUCGGCAAGCUUAACUUGUCGGCGUGCAGAAGACACUACAAGACUCGAGACCGGGAGAAGUCAGGAGUAUUCCUUGGGUACCGGUAAAAUGGGUUAAUCCAAGGAGGACUACCAAUGGCGAAGGCACCUGACUAGAACGGAUCUGACUGUGAGGGACGAAAGCUAGGGGAGCCAAACGGAUUAGAUACCCGCGUA